rnacentral:tRNA from 1 species
AGAAACUUAGGUUCACCCUAAACCGAAGGCCUUCAAAGCCUUAAACAAGAGUUAGACCCUCUUAGUUUCUG